rfam:Sphingobium sp. TCM1 TCM1_contig_4, whole genome shotgun sequence.
GAUGCCGCGAGGUCGUGUGGGGAAGAAGUCUUAGGCGAACCGCAGCACCGAACGCGAGUAAACCCUUGGACAGGCCGAUCCGGUCGGGUGAGCGUGCCUCAUAACGCGACGCCCAAAAUCCAACCGAGACCGGGGCGGUAAUGAGGGCGGCGGCGGCGGGACAUUCAGUGUU